GCCCGGAUGGUGGAAUCGGUAGACACAAGGGAUUUAAAAUCCCUCGGCGUUCGCGCUUUGCGGGUUCAAGUCCCGCUCCGGGUACCA
rnacentral:tRNA from 1 species